rnacentral:rRNA from 1 species
GGUUUGUUAAGUCGAAGGUGAAUCCUCCGGGCUCAACUCGAGAAUUGCCUUCGAUACUGGCAAACUAGAGUGCCGGAGAGGAAAGCGGAACUCUUGGUGUAACGGUGGAAUGUGUAGAUAUCAAGAGGAACACCGGUGGCGAAGGCGGCUUUCUGGACGCACACUGACGCUCAGGCGCGAAAGCGUGGGUAGCAAACAGGAUUAGAUACCCUGGUAGUCCACGCCAUAAACGAUGGGUACUAGGUGUCGGGGGUAUCGACCCCUCCGGUGCCGCAGUUAACGCACUAAGUACCCCGCCUGGGGAUUAUGGUCGCAAGGCUGAAACUCAAAGGAAUUGACGGGGCCCCGCACAAGCGGUGGAGCAUGUGGUUUAAUUCGACGCAACGCGAAGAACCUUACCUGGGCUUGACAUGCUUGGGACAGCGCUGGAAACAGCGUCUCUCCUUCGGGAGCCCUUGCACAGGUGCUGCAUGGCUGUCGUCAGCUCGUGUCGUGAGAUGUUGGGUUAAGUCCCGCAACGAGCGCAACCCUCGUUACUAGUUGCCAUCAGUUCGGCUGGGCACUCUAGUGAGACUGCCGGUGAUAAACCGGAGGAAGGUGAGGAUGAUGUCAAGUCAUCAUGGCCCUUACGCCCAGGGCUACACACGUGCUACAAUGGUCGGCACAAAGGGUCGCUAAGCCGCGAGGUGGAGCUAAUCCCAAAAAGCCGGCCUCAGUUCGGAUUGGAGUCUGCAACCCGACUCCAUGAAGGCGGAAUCGCUAGUAAUCGCGGAUCAGCAUGCCGCGGUGAAUAUGUUCCCGGGGCUUGUACACACCGCCCGUCAUAUCACCCGAGUCGGGGAUACCCGAAGUCCGUGACCCAACCAUUUGGAGGGAGCGGCCGAAGGUGUGCCUG